GAGCGUGAGACUUUUAAUCUCAAGGUUGCGGGUUCGAGUCCCGCGUUGGGCU
rnacentral:tRNA from 1 species